CCUCAAUAUCAGUAUCCGAGACCUAGCUAUAGUGACAAAAAACUAUUUCAAACCUAUUUCAAACCUGUAGAUGCCAUCAGCUAUAUAGACAAAACCCUCUUUUACCAUAAAUCAUGUCUCACGAAUGCCCCAAGGGGACAAUUCCUCCAAAUCCGACAAAAUUGCACAGAGCAUUCAGAUUAUGUAGAACAGGCAAAUUAUUUAAAAAGAGA